rnacentral:pre_miRNA from 1 species
AGAGGGAUAGCUGGGUCAAAUGGUGGUUCCAGUAUAAGUUUUCUAAGGAACCUCCAUACUGCUUUCCAUAUUGGCUGUACCAAUUUGCAGUCCCACCAGCAAU